AGUCAGUUUUACUAUAGGAAAUCCAUGUUGUGAUCUGAAAACCAGAUACAACUCCAUGCAUUCCUGCUCUCUUCCGGCCAGAAUGAUUCACAAAUGAGCAUCUUCCAUGAAAAGGAAAUAUUUCUUUUUUUUUCCUCUCUUUGAAAUCCAGUUCCCUUACAAUCUAGUUGAAAAUCAGGACUUCCUUCUCUUGCUGGGCGGUCUCCUGUCCAGCCCAUCCUAAGGUGGACUGUCAUGUGUUAGCUGCCUGCAGUUUUGAUGACACAGAGGUGGUAGCUCUCUUCUGCCUUCCCUUGAGCCGUGCAAGAGAUCUUCCCUCACUACACAGAAUGAGGAUAAGCAGAACCUGCCACGGAGAAUUUGGAGGAAAGAGGUUGGAGAGGAAAGCCCAGGUGUGUUUAAAAUGUGUCUUCGCAUUUUCUGCAUAACUGGAUCCUAGCUCAUUAAGGAUCUCCUGUG
rnacentral:lncRNA from 1 species